UGCAAGUCGAGCGGAAACGAGUUAUCUGAACCUUCGGGGAACGAUAACGGCGUCGAGCGGCGGACGGGUGAGUAAUGCCUAGGAAAUUGCCUUGAUGUGGGGGAUAACCAUUGGAAACGAUGGCUAAUACCGCAUGAUGCCUACGGGCCAAAGAGGGGGACCUUCGGGCCUCUCGCGUCAAGAUAUGCCUAGGUGGGAUUAGCUAGUUGGUGAGGUAAUGGCUCACCAAGGCGACGAUCCCUAGCUGGUCUGAGAGGAUGAUCAGCCACACUGGAACUGAGACACGGUCCAGACUCCUACGGGAGGCAGCAGUGGGGAAUAUUGCACAAUGGGCGCAAGCCUGAUGCAGCCAUGCCGCGUGUAUGAAGAAGGCCUUCGGGUUGUAAAGUACUUUCAGCAGUGAGGAAGGGGGUGUCGUUAAUAGCGGCAUCUCUUGACGUUAGCUGCAGAAGAAGCACCGGCUAACUCCGUGCCAGCAGCCGCGGUAAUACGGAGGGUGCGAGCGUUAAUCGGAAUUACUGGGCGUAAAGCGCAUGCAGGUGGUUUGUUAAGUCAGAUGUGAAAGCCCGGGGCUCAACCUCGGAACUGCAUUUGAAACUGGCAAACUAGAGUACUGUAGAGGGGGGUAGAAUUUCAGGUGUAGCGGUGAAAUGCGUAGAGAUCUGAAGGAAUACCAGUGGCGAAGGCGGCCCCCUGGACAGAUACUGACACUCAGAUGCGAAAGCGUGGGGAGCAAACAGGAUUAGAUACCCUGGUAGUCCACGCCGUAAACGAUGUCUACUUGGAGGUUGUGGCCUUGAGCCGUGGCUUUCGGAGCUAACGCGUUAAGUAGACCGCCUGGGGAGUACGGUCGCAAGAUUAAAACUCAAAUGAAUUGACGGGGGCCCGCACAAGCGGUGGAGCAUGUGGUUUAAUUCGAUGCAACGCGAAGAACCUUACCUACUCUUGACAUCCAGAGAACUUUCCAAAAAUGRAUUGGUGCCUUCGGGAACUCUGAAACAGGUGCUGCAUGGCUGUCGUCAGCUCGUGUUGGGAAAUGKUGGGUUAAGUCCCGCAACGAGGG
rnacentral:rRNA from 1 species